GUGGGGAAUCUUGCGCAAUGGGCGAAAGCCUGACGCAGCCAUGCCGCGUGAAUGAUGAAGGUCUUAGGAUUGUAAAAUUCUUUCACCGGGGACGAUAAUGACGGUACCCGGAGAAGAAGCUCCGGCUAACUUCGUGCCAGCAGCCGCGGUAAUACGAAGGGGGCUAGCGUUGCUCGGAAUUACUGGGCGUAAAGGGCGCGUAGGCGGACAGCUUAGUCAGAGGUGAAAGCCCAGGGCUCAACCUUGGAAUUGCCUUUGAUACUGGCUGUCUUGAGUUUGGGAGAGGUGAGUGGAACUCCGAGUGUAGAGGUGAAAUCCGUAGAUAUCCGGAGGAACACCGGUGGCGAAGGCGGCCACCUGGACAGGUACUGACGCUGAGGCGCGAAAGCGUGGGGAGCAAACAGGAUUAGAUACCCCAGUAGUCC
rnacentral:rRNA from 1 species